GGUGGCAUUAAUGGAGAAGUUGAAAAUAACAGAAAUGAAAUAUGAACUCAGUGUCCCUGACAAGCUACACCUGAGAUGUCAGAAAAACAUGGGAAAUUAGUUUAUAAACGUGACCUCAGCAAAGAUGACACCAAUAAACAUACUAACAAAGAAGGUGGAAAUCUAACAGGGCCUCAAUACUACACAAAGAACUAUAGAUGCAGAGACCCACAGCCAAGCACUUGGCCAAGAUCCUGGAGUUCAGUUGAAGAGAGGGAGGAAGGAUUAUAAGAGCAAGGAGGGUCAGAAUCAUGAUGAGAAAAACCACAGAAAUAGCUGACCGCAGCUGGUGGUAGUUCAUGGACUCUAGAUUGACAGCUGGGCAGCCAGCAUGGGACUGAACUAGGCCCUCUGAAUGUGGAAGAAAGUUGCAUGGCUUGAUGUGUUUGUGGGUCCCCUGGCAAUGGGACCAGGACUUACCCUUGGUACACAAAC